CAGGUAGUCAAUUCAUAAGAUGAUGGAGAGGAGCUGCAGAAAGAUCUCACCAAGAAAACAAAUGGGCAAGAAAUUACAUAUGAACUUCAGUGUUGACAACUGUAAGAAAUCAGAGUGGAUGAGACAGUGAUUCAGUCACAGAGGUUUCAUAGCAGGGAGGAGCAUGCAGAAAGAAAAGAACCAACCUACACAUUCAAUAACCUCAUAGAUGUGAAUGUCAAGAUUCGUAAAAUACUGAACUGGAUAGAAUGUGCCCUGAGCAUAGAACACACAACUGCAACUCCAAGUAACUCUCCACCUAAACCCAUAAAAGCUAACAACAUUUGACAAAAUGAGCUCCUGUUACCUCUUGGGCAAUCAACAAGAAUUUUUAUAGACAAAAUAUGUUCCAGUGUUAAUUAGAGUUUCAUCCCAUAGGAGAUCAAGGUGACUUCAGAUGCUAGCAAUGCAUAUAAAACUAUAUGUGCAUCUAAUACAUUCCCUUUCAAUUGGUUAUGAGCUCAAUUAAUAGAGAAAUUAAUGAUAUUUUAAGUAUGAGUCUGAUGACAAAAUCGUAACUAAUAAAUGUUUUACACUGUAUCAAUACUUACCAAGAUGAAUAUUAAAUUUGG